GCAUUUAACGCGAGCCGAAUCAAUUUGCCUUCAAUCACCUCAUUGCCUCGUCAGCAUUCGUUGGCUCUUCCUUGUCGCCGUCACACUUCAUUGCAAUUGAUCCCCUCUUCUCACGUCGGUGACCUCCAGCUUGCCGCUUGCUCUCUUCUAAUCUCAUUAAUAUCCAUUACUUUGUGAUUUGCAUGUUGUUAAUUUUUGUUAUUGGUGAUGGGAUUAAUCAUUUUUCAGAUUGAAAAUCAUUAUGGAUUGGGAAGGUGCAUGGGUUGGG
rnacentral:misc_RNA from 1 species